rnacentral:rRNA from 1 species
UACGUAGGAUGCAAGCGUUGUCCGGAAUUAUUGGGCGUAAAGAGCGCGCAGGCGGUCUGCCAAGUCAGAUGUGAAAGAGGCCGGCUUAACCGGCAAGGGUCAUUUGAAACUGACAGACUAGAGUGCAGCAGAGGAUAGCGGAAUUCCCGGUGUAGCGGUGAAAUGCGCAGAUAUCGGGAGGAACACCAAUGGCGAAGGCAGCUCGCUGGGACGGUACUGACGCUGAGGCGCGAAAGCGUGGGGAGCGAACAGG